GUAUGAGGGUUAGCUCUCAGGCUAGUAUGGAAGGCGGCUGGUGGAAGCCAGUAUGAGGGUUAGCCCUCAGGCUAGUGUGGAAGCCAGUAUGAGGGUUAGCUCUCAGGCUAGUAUGAAAGGUGGCCGGUAUGAGGGUUAGCUCUCAGGCUAGUAUGGAAAGUGGCCGGUAUGAGGGUUAGCUCUCAGGCUAGUAUGGAAAGUGGCCGGUAUGAGGGUUAGCUCUCAGGCUAGUAUGGAAAGUGGCCGGUAUGAGGGUUAGCUCUCAGGCUAGUAUGGAAAGUGGCUGGUAUGAGGGUUAGGUCUCAGGCUAGUAUGGAAAGUGGCCGGUAUGAGGGUUAGCUCUCAGGCUAGUAUGGAAAGUGGCCGGUAUGAGGGUUAGCUCUCAGGCUAGUAUGGAAGGCGGCUGGUGGAAGCCAGUAUGAGGGUUAGCUCUCAGGCUAGUAUGAAAGGUGGCCGGUAUGAGGGUUAGCUCUCAGGCUAGUAUGGAAAGUGGCCGGUAUGAGGGUUAGCUCUCAGGCUAGUAUGGAAAGUGGCCGGUAUGAGGGUUAGCUCUCAGGCUAGUAUGGAAGGUGGCCGGUAUGAGGGUUAGCUCUCAGGCUAGUAUGAAAGGCGGCCAGUAUGAGGGUUAGCUCUCAGGCUAGUAUGGAAGGUGGCCGGUAUGAGGGUUAGCUCUCAGGCUAGUAUGAAAGGUGGCCGGUAUGAGGGUUAGCUCUCAGGCUAGUAUGGAAGGCGGCUGGUGGAAGCCAGUAUGAGGGUUAGCCCUCAGGCUAGAAUGAAAGGCGGCUAGUGGAAGCCAGUAUGAGGGUUAGCUCUCAGGCUAGUAUGAAAGGUGGCCGGUAUGAGGGUUAGCUCUCAGGCUAGUAUGAAAGGUGGCCGGUAUGAGGGUUAGCUCUCAGGCUAGUAAGAAAGGCGGCCAGUAUGAGGGUUAGGUCUCAGGCUAGUAUGAAAGGCAGCCAGUAUGAGGGUUAGCUCUCAGGCUAGUAUGAAAGGUGGCCGGUAUGAGGGUUAGCUCUCAGGCUAGUAUGAAAGGCAGCCAGUAUGAGGGUUAGCUCUCAGGCUAGUAUGAAAGGCAGCCAGUAUGAGGGUUAGCUCUCAGGCUAGUAUGAAAGGCGGCCGGUAUGAGGGUUAGCUCUCAGGCUAGUAUGAAAGGCAGCCAGUAUGAGGGUUAGCUCUCAGGCUAGUAUGAAAGGCAGCCAGUAUGAGGGUUAGCUCUCAGGCUAGUAUGAAAGGUGGCCAGUAUUUGGGAGAGAAAAUAUCUAUAGACUUCCAAAAGUACUCGCACUCAAAACCAUGAAGAGGAUUAACCCAAGGAGGCGGAGAUGCAAAAAUAAUAUAAUUCACAUUUAAAAGAAUAUCAUUCAUUUAAUCCAUGCUCAAAAGAGUAGAACAAAUUCAAGUGCAAGGUGGUAAUACAACUAUAGGUUAGUUUCAGCCUUAUGCCUUCAUCAGGGCUGAACAAACAGACCUGGUGUUUAACAUGAUUUAUUCAUGACUCCGGUACCUCAUCUCUCUACCCCACACAUCUCUGUACCCCACACAUCUCUCUACCCCACACAUCUCUCUACCCCACACAUCUCUCUACCCCACACAUCUCUCUACCCCACACAUC